rnacentral:rRNA from 1 species
UACGGAGGUGGCGAGCGUUGUCCGAAGUUACUGGGCGUAAAGCGCGCGUAGGCGGGCUCUUAAGUGAGAAGUGAAAGGCUGGGGCUCAACUCCAUGCAGUGCUUCUCAUACUGGGGGUCUUGAGGGCGGUAGAGAGAAGUGGAAUGGCUGGUGUAGCGGUGAAAUGCGUAGAUAUUCGCAAGAACACCAGUGGCGAAGGCGGCUCACUGGCCCGGUACUGACGCUGAGGUGCGAAAGCGUGGGGAGCAAACAGG